GAUCACGACCUGAGCAGAAACCGAGAGUCGGACUCUCAACCCACUGAGCCACCCAGGUACCCCUAACAUAUUUCUUGAAUGUUUCCCAGCCUCAGGCACUAAACGAGGUGUUUUAUUAGUUCAUCUCAUGUAACCCUCCAUGAGAGAUAGGGAAUAUUCUCUGUAUGUUACAGGUCAGGAAAUGAUAGGUCAGAGAAGUUAAGGGAGCUGCUAAAGGUCUCUAAAUAGUGAGCUCCAAAUAGUGUGAUUCAAACUCACGUCUUUCUUACUCUAGAGUCUGUCUUGCCUCAAAAACCAUAUGCCUGCAUUAUGCAUCCAUAAAACAGUGUUACUUAAUAGUGAAAAUCAUAUACUGUUCAGGAAUGAACCAUAGACCCAGCCUAGAUCUUUGGAAGUUUUUCCUUCUCCUUGUCAAGUCGGCACAAAUUACUAACCUGUGUGUUGACUAGAAUUGAAGAAAGGCUUCAGCAUCCAAGCUGAAAGAUCCCAAGAUCUGCCAGGUGAGAGAAAAUCGAAGGACAAAGGAGAAAUGUUCUUAAUCUAUUUGUCUGCAUGGAUUAUUAUCAACGAACAUUGAACUCCCCCCAGUAUUUGGGGUUUGGCAAACCCCUUGCAGACCACUGCAUAUUUGGGCAAGCAUGCUAUGCCCUUCAGGCUACAAUUUUGUAAUGAAAGACUUAGGUCUAAAGUGCUUUGUGGAACCCCAAUGAUUAUAAAGAAUUAGUGGCUGUUUCUGCCAAUGGGAAGACUAUGAAUUCAUAAGUAUGAAUUUUAUUCAUAGGGACAUAAGUAAUAAUUCUAUGUAUUUUUUUAAGUGUAUUUAUUUCAGAGAGAGCGUGAGCAGGGGAGGGGUAGUGAGAAAGGGCGAGAGAGAAUCCCAAGCAGGUUUUCUCCCUGUCAGCGCAGAGCCCGAUGCAGGCCUCAAACUCACCAACCGUGAGAUCAUGACCUGAGCAGAAAUCAAGAGUCAGACACUUAACCAGCUGGGCCGCCCGGGCACCCCAGUAUUCAUUCUAUUUCUUAGAACAAAAGCAAUGCGUAUGGCCGUGCCUGGCUCCUAGAGGCUAAUCAGCAAAUGUUUAUUAAAUAUGAUCUGAGUCCCCGAACUGUUGAGAGUGUAUACCUCCAUUUUUUUUCCCAACUCAUUCUCCCCUUCUCUAACCUACCCCUCCCAUUGAAAACUACUGCUCCAAUUAUUGCCCUUCUGUGAACAUAAUUCACUUAAUUAUACACUUGUCUCUGUAAAUCCUUGAGGGAGGGCCUGAGUCUAGGAGCGUGAUGUGUUACGUCAUCUGCAGCAACUUGAUAAGUACUUGCUGACUGACGAUACUGACUGAUAGAACUUGACACCAGCAUCCAGCUGAGGGGAAGAUGCUCGUAUAGACGACAGAAGGCCCCCAGGACUAGAAGACGGCCCCCUGAUGGUCUGCUUGGUGUAGACCACCACUCUUAGGGACCGCGGACACCCGAGACGCCAGGCGUCUGUGAAGAAGCGCCGACCCCACAGGGCUAACACAGCUUCUCCAUGCGGGAUCCUUGAAACUUGCCUCAGAGUCACUGGCGGUGUUUGUUUCAAAAUACUUCUUCUUGACUUUCGCCUUAGAUGAUAAAUCAGAACCCACAGGGAUGGCACCUCCAACGUGCACUUUCCACGAGGCUCCCAGCAGAUUCUGACACACGCAAAACUUCUCAUAUUCCUAGACGAGCAAUAAGGCAUCUCACGACAGCAAGUGAAGAGAGAAGCCCACCGACACCCAGGCGUCUGCACCGGAUUCCACCCAGGAAGCCCGGUUCGCUGACGUAAAGGAGAUUCCUUCUUUCCAUCACUGAACUGCGAUAAUGCGCAUGGUACGAAUCCAGGCAACGAAGCUAGUAACGCCAUCCACUGGUUUUUCAAGCUGAAGGACAUAGCAGGGGUGGGGUUGAGGAGGCAACGGAACUCAAAAGUUCGAGAAGCUGAGCGAGGCUGCAGAUGCCCACAUCCAACAGGGCUUUUGUGCCGCACACGCACAAAGCAGUGUAUGGAAGCAUCUGGCACGUGCCUGGUAUAGAGCAGAUUCUCAACACACGUCAGCCGCCCCGGGAUUGUUUCUGCCGACUUUUCCUUUCAAGUGCCCUUUGCUGAGUCUGGAGAAGGUUCCGAGGAAUUCACCCAGGAUGAGCACCGUCCCCAGUGCACACAUCUGACGCCCACAAGCUAUGUACGUCAGGCGACUGGGGCUGAGUUCACCGUCUCACCCUUGAGGGGUGUUCUCACAGAUAGGGGUGCUCUUGGGGAGAGUGUUGCUCCUACUCAUUAGGGACCCGGGGCCACUGGCCUCUGCAAGCCACUCUACCAAAUAUUCUGGUCUCCCCGCCCUGAAUUGUGGGGAGCACGGGAUGCAGGGAGAGGUCUAGAAGGACCAAAAGGGGUGAAGCUCUGAAAUUUCACAAGAAUUGCAUGGAAGGCUAAAGAUGAUGGUGUUUGUCACAGAACAGGGCCCGGAGCUGUCUUCCGGCUUUCCUCUAUGCCAAGCGGCUCCAAUGUCACAGAAGAGGGUCAGAGUAGGUUUUUAUCCACUCUUGGUGUGCAGUAUCUAUUGGCUGGGGCUCCCUUUGACCCCUACAGGGUGACCUGUAGGUCCUUGUAAAGUGGUGCAGAAGUACCUCCGACACAAAAUGUCCCCGAGUCAACCCAUCUUCUCCCCUAAGCUUGCCCCUUCUCUGGUAUUGCCAACUCUGACUGACGGCCUUGCCAUCGGGCUACUGGCUCAAUGGAAAACCUAAAUCACAUUCCACUCUCCUCCUCUUUUCUCCUGCAUCCAAAACAUCCUGUCAAUGUUAACUCUCACUGAAUGUUACGGCUCUUUUCUCCUCCCCACCUGCACUAUUGCUGACUUAGUUGAGACCUCGACAUUGCUCACCCAGAAUACUGCCAGAGCCUCCAGGCUAUACUUCCCACUUCUAAUCUUUCUCCCCUCUGAUACAUUUGCCACAGGACCAUCGUAGUGAUUCUUCUUAAUAAACGAGAUAACCGUACCGUACCUCCUAUUAAAAAAAAAUCUCUACUAUUUUCUGCAUUGUUUAGUGCAUUGCUUUCUUCAGGAAGACACAUAAGAUGGUCUUUGUAUCAUGCCUCGGGCAGUAUGGAAUCCUAGGUAUGUUCUCUACAAAACAGCUUACUCCUGAAAAGCAUACCCUUUAAUGCGUCGUUGGUCUCCCGUGAUGUAGAAGUGAUGUUCAAGAACAGCACUGUCCAGGAGGAAUGUCUGCAGUGAUGAUAGUGUUCUCUGCUGUCCAGUGUCUUUGCCACUAGCUACACGUAGCUCUUGAUCUCUGGAAACGUGUCUAGUGUGACUGAGAAGCCGUAGGUUUAAUUUUACUUCAUUUUACUUACCACAAAUAGCCUGUGGCUGUCAUACUGUGAGCUGAAAUCUGAGCUUCAAAGGGUAAGCAAACUCAAGAAGUGGGAAAUCUGAUUCCUAGACUUCCACAUGAAGCCCUGGGUGCUCAAGACCGGGCUAGAUCAAUUAUGGCUCAGUAGCGCCCCCUGGCUCUCAGGAAAGGAAGACGCAAAUCAUUUGAGAAUAAAUGCCUCCAGUAUUCCCACAGAUUACUAUCAACCAACUAUGAUUUUACAAUACAGUAUCACCAAACAUACAAUAAAAUAAGCCACCACGAAAUAAGGUCAGCAGAAACAACAAACAAACAAAAACAGACUUAAAGCCUAAGAUUCUCAGCUACUGGAAUUAUCACAUACAGAAUAUAAAAUAACCAUGGAUGAAAUAUUUUUUAAAAAUUAAGAGUUUCCAAAACAAACAAGUGGUAAGACCAUCAUAUAUGACCCAGCCUAUUCGAAAAGAAACCAAACAAAUUUUAGAGUUGAAAUAUGUAAGUAUUUCAAUUAAAAAUUGAACAGAGGGUUAAACAAAUUAGACACCACUAACAAGAGAGUUCGUGAGAUAAAAGAUAGAUAUGAAGAAGUAGCUGAGAAUAAAGUGUAAGGACAUGGAAAAUAUAAAAGGAAGAUUAAUAGACGUGGAACAUAAAAUAAGAAAUUCUACGUCUAUUUUAAGUCUCAGAAGCUGAAAAUACAAAAAGUGAAUGAGAGGCAAAUUUGAAGAGAUGUGGCUGAGAAAUUCUCAGAGCUUAUGAGAUACAUGAAUCCACAGAGUUUGAAAGCAGUCUUAUGAGCAGAACCAGAUCCACAAAGAAUUACAAAAUAGACUAUCUUCUCGGUCCCUCCUGUUCUUGGAAAUGUUCUUCUCAUUUUCAAGGAUCCUCUUCCAAGCUUCCAAAUGCCCAGUUUCCCCCACACUGCCCCCAGCCCACUCAAGUUUAUUUAUUAUACACGUGCCCUCAUCCAAACAGGCAUCUUUCAAGAUACGGUAAUGAAAUAAUCAGAUAAACCAGCUUGUGCUUAUAUAUGUUCCAGCUAAUGGGUUGCCUCUCCCAUUAGAUAAUGCUUUAAAAUAACUUUAUGUUACAGAUGUCCCUUGAGGAGUGACACAAUUAUUGGAAUUCAAGGCACAGUGCCAGAAGAAGAUUUGAAAGAGAAAAAGACUCUGAGUGUUCUCAGUUUGAGGGCCUACCCAGCUGGAUAACUCCUAAGAUGGAUGAGUGUCUAACUCACCAACACGUAAAAUUAGCCCACCAGGGUAGUGGGUCCUUCAUCAUCCAAGAGAACUGAUUUCAUAUAUAUUAUCAAAAUUAGGAGGAUGGAAAUCAAUAUGUCUUAUCUCUCAGAGUAUCCCCCAACCCUAUAAAUGGCAUAUAUGACCAAUGUCUAAGACAACUAACACAACAUUUCUCUGGCCACAACUAUUGGUUCAACGGGGAAGGCAGCCACUCGACAAAUACUUGUUGAGCACUUAGUAUGCCUCAGGCACUGGAGACACAGCACACAACAAAGUGGACAAGAUCUCUGCCCUAAUGGACCUUAUGCUGGAGUGAGGUGGACACAAUAUAUAAAUAAACAAAUAUGCUUAUAUACACAUCUUUAUAAACAUCUCUUUAGGCAGGCAUAUAGAUGUAUACAUGCAUCUGUGUAUACGUAUACCUAUAUAUGUGCAUAUAUUUGUAUACGUGUGUGUGUGGCUGCACUGUGAAGAAUGGAUGGAGGAAAAGAAAGACAGGAUGCACGUUAGGAGUUCUGUUUCUGGUAUCCAGAGGAGGGACCAUGGAGGAUAAUGGGUGAAUUUGAAAGAUACCAGGAUGUCGUGUUGGUCAUCCUGAUACAGGCAAAGGAAGAAAAUCACUGUGGAAAAUGAUAUAUGAGUCCCAUUUGGACCUCUGGGUAGAUGGUAUGGCCGUUUUACAAAGAGCAUAGGGAAAGAGGGGUGGGUGAAUUCAGUGUGGGGUGUCUGUGUCACCUGUAGGUGUCCAUGGGAGCAGUUGGAUAUGUGGCUGGAACUCAGCAAGAAGACCCAGGAGAUAAAGAUUGGAGAGCGGGUCAACAGAGAACUAAUAACUGAAGCCAAGUCACUGUUAUCGGUAACAAAUGGCACCCCACAAGAAAACUUUAAGGAAUGUUAACACUUCAGGGGUAGGCAGAGGGAGUGUUGGAGGGUGUUGUGUCUGGGCAGCAAAGAGAAGAAAGCACUUCAAGAACGUCCGCAGAGAAGCAGGGGGAGGAGGUCCAAGGCACCGCUGGAGUUUUAAGUCUUUAAGAAAAGCUGUUAAAACUGCUGGUCUGAGACCGGGAGCAGCAGAGAUAGUGUGAUGAACAGCGCCAUCUCGUGGAAGAUAAGAUGAACAGCCGGGAGAAGACCGAUUUUCUUGCUUGUUGAUCAUGGGUCACAUUGACUUGGGGUUGGAAAGAAUCUUAAAGGUAUAUUUUCAGAGGAAGCAUAGGCCACAAGAACUAAGUUUGGCUUCCCCACGAGUCAUGUAAGUUCUCCAGUGAGAGCUAGGGCGAGUACCUGGCUUGUGGGCUCCCAAGCCAGUAGCCUCAUUACACUGUCCUGCUUCUGAGGGGACUGUAAGUCAUAGAACAGUCAGACCCAGACUAACUGUGACCGAGGUGUCCCUGGGGUCUCUCUGCUCCUUCGUGCCUGUACAAUGUUUGGAUCAGAAAUCCCCGUUCCUCGCCCUGCAGAACGUCCGCCGCUCUCCCAAGACCUGUGUAAAUUCCGGAACCCCUCGGGAUAUCCAGAAUCUUCCUCUCACCGGUUCCCAUCUUCAACUUUAUCUCUGUGUUUGCAUCACCCCCAGAUUGAAAACAAACCCUGUCGAGGGUCCCAGCGUUGAGAGAACAACCAAGACGAGCCCCACAUCACCACAAACCACAACAAGCAAAACACCUCACUCGACGUCAACAUGGAGAUGAAAACUGGACAUUAAGAAGCCCUGUCUUGAUGGUUUUAUGUUCAGUAAUUGCAGUUAGCCAAAAGUAUCAAAAGCUGAGGUUUGGGGAUGCGCUGUUCCUUAAAUGCUUUGAUCAGAGACUUCCAGCGAGUAGUGAACAAAACACAACCAAACGGUAAAGAAUCCACUUGCCGAAACCAAGAACAAAACCUUAAGACGCGGACAUAAGGAGAACUUGAGUUGGUUUACAACAUAGCCCUUCACGGACUCAAUGAAAGACGACGUCAACUACCUCCAUGUCGACCUCAGUCUGUACUUUCUAACUGAUUAAGUUCUGUCCAGCUUAUCUCAGGCUGGAAAGGCCAAAGACAUGGCGGGCAAAGCAUCCCCUGAUGGGAGCCGAAACUACCCUCUCAAGCAAUAAGGACCGUCCUGAGCCUGCAAGACCCCAUAUGCUUGACCCCAAGACAAUGAUCAACUUUUUUACAGCCCACCUGCAUGUAGCCACCAACCUUCGUCCCACAUUUUCCUUGUAUAAACCCGGAAGUAUUGUUGGCACUUUGGAGCACAAUCUUUGAGACGCUGGUUUACUGUUUCCCAGGUGUUGGCCUCACUGAAAUAAAUUCCUUUCUGUUUCACCACC